UCAAAACCAAAGACUUCCCUCCCUUGAUUGAAAAAUUUGGGUCAUUCUCCCUCCCUUUCUCUCUCACCAUCUCACCAGCCUAUCGAGAGUGAAAUCGAUACAUUCUCGCUCUCACUCUCUCUCGCUCUUGCCUCACUCUCUCUCUGCCUCUCACUCUCACUCUCUCUCCGCCGCCCCAGCUCGAAGUCGCUACCUGGUCCGGUGGUUUACUCUCUCCGCCGCCUCAGCUCGAAGUCACCGAAACUUAAGACCGCAUCAACUCCGGUCGAGCUAGAUAAUUGAUUAGUCUACAGAACGUGAAUUGGGUGGUGUUAGGGAGGUCCAGGGGUAAAGACUCCACUUCUUGUUUAGAGAAAAUGGAACUGGGUCUUGCUUCACGUUCUUUUGAUUCCUUUGACUUUAAAUUUGGAUUUCGUUUACAAUAAUCAACAGAAGUAGUGCAGAUAAGAAGGUAUUCACCAUUUCUAGAAAGUGCAUUACUAGAUGGUAAUAGUACCUUGGUAGCUGAUGAGCGACAGGCAGUUCCUAACAUUUGGAGAACUUCAGCUGAGAAAUAUGGGGAUCGUGUUGCAUUAACAGAUCCGUACCAUGAUCCACCGUCAAAUAUGACCUAUAAACAGCUGGAACAAGAGAUUUUGGAUUUUUCUGAAGGCCUAAGGAUUGUUGGAGUAAAGCCUGUAGAAAAAAUUGCACUUUUUGCUGAUAAUUCUUGUCGUUGGCUUGUUGCAGAUCAGGGCAUAAUGGCCACUGGAGCAAUCAAUGUGGUACGAGGUUCAAGGUCAUCAGUUGAAGAAUUGAUACAAAUAUACAAUCACUCUGAAAGGUUCAGUAAUUGCUCUCCGUUUACUCAAAUGUUGUUGUGCUAGACAUCUCACCAUCGUUUAUAAAUUAACAUAUAAUCUCUAAGAUGCUGUAUGCUAUUUAGUGCAUUUCUGUAAUUCAUUCCAACUUGGUGCAUAGCAUGGUCUCUAAAGUGAUAUUCAUUGUUCUUUGUUGAUUUUUACAGCUGAAACUUAUUAUAGAAUUAUACUAGGCUGCUUGCAACCCAUUCUUUUAGUCUGAUACUUCUUUUAAGGCCAAAAGGCAAAUAGAAAAAAAUUUAUAUGUUAGGAAAGGGUCCAUUAAAAACACAAACUAGGAACAUGAAAUUAUGAUUACUAGGGACACCGAUACAAGCGAUACAAGCGAGAACAUUGGUUCUAGUCGUCAGGAAAUAAGAAGAUAAAGAGAAAAUAUUGAGGGGUACCAGGGAGGAAUCAGCUUAAAUUUUGUAAGGAAUCAGCUUCGACAACAUGGAGAUGUCCAGUUCAGAUGCAGUUUCUUUUGUAAGGAAUCAGCUUCGACAACAUGGAGAUGUCCAGCUAGCUUGUUAUGCGCUUGCUGAAGCUGCUUUGGCAACAACUAAUUGAAUGGAUUGUGUUUAUUCUGACCAUAGCGCUGGAUUAUGUCAGGAAAGUCCAAAAUGCUUGAAAUUUUGGUUGCUUGAAACUUUUAUUUUUUUGAUGACAUGGUUGCUUGAAACUUUGGUUGCUAUUGUUUUGCAUGUAUUUUGGUGAAUGUCAUAUAUCUAAUUUUGGUUGCUGUUGGUUGCUUGGA